UACGUAGGGUGCAAGCGUUAAUCGGAAUUACUGGGCGUAAAGCGUGCGCAGGCGGUUGUGCAAGACCGAUGUGAAAUCCCCGGGCUCAACCUGGGAAUGGCAUUGGUGACUGUACGGCUAGAGUGUGUCAGAGGGGGGUAGAAUUCCACGUGUAGCAGUGAGAUGCGUAGAGAUGUGGAGGAAUACCGAUGGCGAAGGCAGCCCCCUGGGAUAACACUGACGCUCAUGCACGAAAGCGUGGGGAGCAAACAGG
rnacentral:rRNA from 1 species